GUCCUCACCUCCGGGUUUCACAGCCUGGCGGGACCCUCUGCUCGGUGAGCUUCCCGCUGGACCCCUGGCUCCAGCAGGUCAAGACGCUGAGUGGAAGGCGGGGGUGGCGUUAAGCAGCCCCCUUUCUUUCUCCCAGUGGGCGAUUUCUCUGCUGCCUGGGGCGGGGGCGCCGGGGGCUACCCAGCCCGGAAACUCCCCGCAGAGGAAGGCCAGCCUGGGCCUCGCUCUUCUCAGCGCGCACAUUGCCCCUCACCCCGCUGGGUAGGGGUCUUUCAGGUGGGUUAGGGAGUUCUCCCUGAGUCAAACCAGGCUGGAGGGGGGAGGAGGUCCCACUUGUCUGCCCCCUCCCGCAGGGCACCUCUGAGUUAGCAAAUUGUUUUCUUGUCUUGCUUCUCAUUUGGGGGGAGGGUCUGGGGAGAGCCACCUCCUACUUGGCAAGUCUCUUGAGGGGAGGUUUGGGGGCCUGGGGUUGCCCCUCCUGGGUAGGGGCAAAGGGAGUACCAGCUGUUUUGGAGGAACCCUCAGGCCCUGAUUCCUUGAUUCCUGAGGGUGCCAGUCUAGGACCAGCGUCCUGCCCCCACCCCCACAGGAGCUGGGACAGAGCCAUGCGGCUGUGCCCCGCCCCUGCUCUUCCCAAAUUUAGUGUCAGAGAAUGAAAAAGCCACCUUGGGCUGGGAGAGCCUGCGUGCUGCCUGGGGUCCGGUGGGGGUUGUGCGUUUGUGGAAGGAGUGGUCUGGGCAGCUGUGAGACUGACUGACCCCUCUACUCCUCUGCUGGUGCGGCCCACCAACAGCACCUGCCCACGCUGCCUCCAGCCCGAGCUCAGGAGAGCCGCGCUUGUCCUUAGGGCCGCCAGCUGCUCUGGGGGAUCUGCUUCUGCUGUUUGGGCUGACAGCCUCCGCCCCACACCUCCGGAUUCCAGAACAUCUGUCAAGGUGCUCAGGACCAUCUGUGCAGAGCAACUCCUGGAGCCCAGAGAGGUUGGUGCUGGGCCCCCCUGCGGGAGGAGAUGGGCCAGCCCUCACACCUGGCGGAGAGUGUGGCAGAACUGCAGGUGUGUGCUGCCUGUGCCCUUGCCCAGCCUCAUGGUGCCCUGGCUGCCUGGGCCUCAGCCCUCCUUGGCCACUGACCCUUGUCUCGCUUUCCCCUCCACUGGCCUCUUGAUGCUCUGGGAAUUCCCCGCCACUUUCCUGCCUCUGAGCCUCCACUCUUGCUGUUCCCUCUGCGCUUCUCCCUCCCCAGGUAACUCUGAUUCCUCCUCAUCUGCUGCCUUCACCUCUGCCUGGGCCCAGCCCUCCCCCUCGUGCCCUCCGGUGCCCUCUGGUGCCCUCCGCUGCUGCAGCCUCAGCAGGGGCGUGUGUCACGCCAGUCUGUGUCUCUGCUGCUCGGGCCCUGCUCCUCCCAGGCCAGCCCUCAAUCCUCCGCAGUGA
rnacentral:lncRNA from 1 species